rnacentral:rRNA from 1 species
AUACGUAGGGUGCAAGCGUUAAUCGGAAUUACUGGGCGUAAAGCGUGCGCAGGCGGUUUUGUAAGACAGAGGUGAAAUCCCCGGGCUCAACCUGGGAACUGCCUUUGUGACUGCAAGGCUAGAGUACGGCAGAGGGGGAUGGAAUUCCGCGUGUAGCAGUGAAAUGCGUAGAUAUGCGGAGGAACACCGAUGGCGAAGGCAAUCCCCUGGGCCUGUACUGACGCGCAUGCACGAAAGCGUGGGGAGCAAACAGGAUUAGAUACCCUGGUAGUCCACGCCCUAAACGAUGUCAACUGGUUGUUGGGUCUUCAUUGACUCAGUAACGAAGCUAACGCGUGAAGUUGACCGCCUAGGGAGUACGGCCGCAAGGUUGAAACUCAAAUGAAUUGGCGGGG